rnacentral:rRNA from 1 species
UACGAGGGGUGCUAGCGUUAUUCGGAAUUAUUGGGCGUAAAGGGUGUGUAGGCGGUUUGUUAAGUUUGUUGUUAAAUUUCCCGGCUCAACCGGGAUUCGGCGGUAAAAACUGGCAGACUAGAGUAUGGAAGAGAGAGGUGGAAUUCUCGGAGUAGCGGUAAAAUGCGUAGAUCUCGAGAGGAACACCGAUGGCGAAGGCAGCCUCUUGGUCCAUUACUGACGCUGAGACACGAAAGCGUGGGUAGCAAAC